CUCAGGGCUUUGGAUUUCAGAGCUAGAAGCAGCCAGUCUGCAGGGAUAUCCCGGAUCGCUGCUUCGUCUCAGCCUCCCCUGGAACCCUUCCAGUGAAGCUCACCCCUUUGUGAGGAAGCCUGCUCCGUUUCCACUCAGCCAAGGCUACACACACUUCGUGAACAGCGGGACCUCCUAACCUGUAAGUUGCCACCCCCUCCCCCGACUGCCCCUGUUGGGAGGGAGAAGCCGCUUGGGCAGCAGAGGCGAAGACGGCUUCGUAGAGCAGCCUGGCCCGCGUGACAAAGCCGAGUCUGUCUGGUAUCGGCUCCAGCUGUGAGUCCCUGGCUAUCCUUAUUUCAAGGGCAGCACUGCGCCUGGAGAGCUCCUGUUCCCUGGCCGAUGAAGCAGCUGGAAGAAACAUGAUCUAGGCAUCCAGAGGCCCGUGCAAAAUGCAAGACCGAGCGGAGUGUCCUAGGGGAAGCUGAGCGAGGGCUUGGCGGGGUGGGUGCUCUCACGUGUCCUCGUCACCACGUGGCAUUCACCUUUGUCUUCUGGUUGGUUUCUCGUGUGUCUCUUCUCAGCAGGGUGGGGAAUUGUGCAACCGGUUUUAUUUUCUGAUGCAAUGUGGGGUUGUCCUGUCUUACUUAACUAAAUGAGCUCACCAAAAACAGAGCCUUGGUUGAGUCGUUCCCAAACACUGUUGGUUUCCCUGGACAUUCCCUUUUGGUCUGUGUUCAGGGCUCAGCUCUGUGAUGCUGGAGGACUUAGGAUUGGCCCUUCUUCAUGGGUCUCCAUCAGAACUUACGACUUGUGCAGUGUCCCAGUGGAGGACCUGGGGUGAGCCCUGUGGAGCCCAGAAUGUUCCGGGGAAGGCACUGAAUGCAGUGGACGUCAAGGGGAAGACUGAGCUCACCACUCUCCUGCCUGGUUUGGCCAAAGACCCCACUCCCAGCUGCUGUGAUGGACCUUCUGGGCUUCCAUUGUCAGAAAGGGGCAGCCCUGGGCCCAGAGAGCUGGACUGGAGUCAUGGCCCCACCACUGAGCAGCUGUGGCCUUGGAAAUAUUACGUGGCCUCCCUGUGCCUUAGACUUCUCUUGGGAAAGGUAAGAGCACGGGUAGCUCCUAUCUCCUCAGGUCUGUGAGGGUGGAAUGAGACACUGAAGAGCUUUCUGUAUAGUAGGCACUAUACAGAAGUACAGCGAGUGUCAGUGUUUUGCUUUUAAAUUUGGAACCACUGAGAGAAAGUCUAAGACUUAGGGAGUAUCCAAGAUGGCGACAUAGGAAGACCCUGAACUCACCUCCUCCCAUAGACGCACUGAAUCCACACCGACCUAUAGAGCAAUUCCUCCUGAAGAAAAACUGAGGGCUGACUGAACAGCUUCUGCACAACGGAGGACAGAGGGACCACACAGAACGGCAGGAGAGACGGAGAACGGGAACAAUGGGAACCCCCGCCUCUACUCUGAAAGCUACAGUGGGGAGGGACGGCCCUAAAGGCCCUGCCUGCAGAUUCGCCCGCCCUGAGACACAGCAAAAUAGUGGCAGCUUAAGGGGCAAUGAGACUAGAAGGGAAGGAAACCCAUUCACUAACUCUAGGGUGUCCACCAAGUGGGGGACUGCUGGAACUCCGAGUCAGAGGGGCUUAUAAAUGCCACUGUUUACAUUCCCCCUCCACCUCCAUAGCACAGACAGCAGCAGGGUCUGGGCACCUUAGUCAGCCU